CGCGUGCACUGGUCCGGCCGGGCCUUUCCCUCUGCGGAACCCCAUGCCCUUCACUGGGUGUGGCGGGGAAACAGGACUUUUACUUUGAAAAAAUUAGAGUGCUCAAGGCAGGCCUAUGCUCGAAUACAUUAGCAUGGAAUAAUAGAAUAGGACGUGUGGUUCUAUUUUGUUGGUUUCUAGGACCGCCGUAAUGAUUAAUAGGGACAGUCGGGGGCAUCAGUAUUCAAUUGCCAGAGGUGAAAUUCUUGGAUUUAUUGAAGACUAACUACUGCGAAAGCAUUUGCCAAGGAUGUUUUCAUUAAUCAGGAACGAAAGUUAGGGGAUCGAAGACGAUCAGAUACCGUCGUAGUCUUAACCAUAAACUAUGCCGACUAGGGAUCGGACGAUGUUACAUUUUUGACGCGUUCGGCACCUUACGAGAAAUCAAAGUGCUUGGGCUCCAGGGGGAGUAUGGUCGCAAGGCUGAAACUUAAAGAAAUUGACGGAAGGGCACCACCAGGGGUGGAGCCUGCGGCUUAAUUUGACUCAACACGGGGAAACUCACCAGGUCCAGACACAAUGAGGAUUGACAGAUUGAGAGCUCUUUCUUGAUUUUGUGGGUGGUGGUGCAUGGCCGUUCUUAGUUGGUGGAGUGAUUUGUCUGCUUAAUUGCGAUAACGAACGAGACCUUAACCUGCUAAAUAGCCCGUAUUGCUUUGGCAGUACGCUGACUUCUUAGAGGGACUAUCGG
rnacentral:rRNA from 1 species